rnacentral:misc_RNA from 1 species
UCUGCGUUUCGCGCAGCGGUCUCGCUAGAGAGAUUCAACUAGCGACGAGGGUUGCGCUCGUUGCGGGACUUAACCCAACACCUCACGGCACGAGCUGACGACAGCCAUGCAGCACCUGUAAUCCGGCCCAUUGCUGGGAGGCGCCCAUCUCUGGAUGCCGUCCGGACUAUGUCAAGGGUUGGUAAGGUUCUUCGCGUUGCGUCGAAUUAAACCACAUGCUCCACCGCUUGUGCGGGGCCCCGUCAAUUCCUUUGAGUUUUAGCCUUGCGGCCGUACUCCCCAGGCGGGGUACUUAAUGCGUUAGCUACGGCACGGAUCCCAAGGAAGGAAACCCACACCUAGUACCCACCGUUUACGGCGUGGACUAC